rnacentral:rRNA from 1 species
UCUAAUACCGAAUAUGACCACGAGACGCAUGAUCUUGAUGGUGGAAAGCUUUUGCGGUGUGGGAUGGGCCCGCGGCCUAUCAGCUUGUUGGUGGGGUGACGGCCUACCAAGGCGACGACGGGUAGCCGGCCUGAGAGGGUGUCCGGCCACACUGGGACUGAGAUACGGCCCAGACUCCUACGGGAGGCAGCAGUGGGGAAUAUUGCACAAUGGGCGCAAGCCUGAUGCAGCGACGCCGCGUGGGGGAUGACGGCCUUCGGGUUGUAAACCUCUUUCAGCAGGGACGAAGCGCAAGUGACGGUACCUGCAGAAGAAGCACCGGCCAACUACGUGCCAGCAGCCGCGGUAAUACGUAGGGUGCGAGCGUUGUCCGGAAUUACUGGGCGUAAAGAGCUCGUAGGUGGUUUGUCGCGUUGUUCGUGAAAACCGGGGGCUUAACCCUCGGCGUGCGGGCGAUACGGGCAGACUGGAGUACUGCAGGGGAGACUGGAAUUCCUGGUGUAGCGGUGGAAUGCGCAGAUAUCAGGAGGAACACCGGUGGCGAAGGCGGGUCUCUGGGCAGUAACUGACGCUGAGGAGCGAAAGCGUGGGGAGCGAACAGGAUUAGAUACCCUGGUAGUCCACGCCGUAAACGGUGGGUACUAGGUGUGGGUUUCCUUCCUUGGAAUCCGUGCCGUAGCUAACGCAUUAAGUACCCCGCCUGGGGAGUACGGCCGCAAGGCUAAAACUCAAAGGAAUUGACGGGGGCCCGCACAAGCGGCGGAGCAUGUGGAUUAAUUCGAUGCAACGCGAAGAACCUUAUCCUGGGUU